rnacentral:rRNA from 1 species
AAACCAGCACCUCAAGUGGUCAGGAUGAUUAUUGGGCCUAAAGCAUCCGUAGCCGGCUCAGUAAGUUUUCGGUUAAAUCUGUACGCUCAACGUACAGGCUGCCGGGAAUACUGCAGAGCUAGGGAGUGGGAGAGGUAGACGGUACUCGGGAGGAAGUGGUAAAAUGCUUUGAUCUCUCGAUGACCACCUGUGGCGAAGGCGGUCUACCAGAACACGUUCGACGGUGAGGGAUGAAAGCUGGGGGAGCAAACCGGAUUAGAAACCCCAGUAGUCC